rnacentral:rRNA from 1 species
UACAGAGGUCUCAAGCGUUGUUCGGAUUCAUUGGGCGUAAAGGGUGCGUAGGUGGCGAGGCAAGUCGGGUGUGAAAUCCCGGGGCUUAACCCCGGAACUGCAUUCGAUACUGCCUUGCUCGAGUACUGGAGAGGAGACUGGAAUUUACGGUGUAGCAGUGAAAUGCGUAGAUAUCGUAAGGAAGACCAGUGGCGAAGGCGAGUCUCUGGACAGUUACUGACACUGAGGCACGAAGGCCAGGGGAGCAAACGGG